UGCCAGCCGCCGCGGUAAUACGAACCGUCCAAACGUUAUUCGGAAUCAUUGGGCUUAAAGGGUGCGUAGGCGGCACGGUAAGUGAGAUGUGAAAUCCCUCGGCUCAACCGAGGAACUGCGUUUCAUACUGCCGUGCUUGAGGGAGACAGGGGUAAGCGGAACUGAUGGUGGAGCGGUGAAAUGCGUUGAUAUCAUCAGGAACACCAGUGGCGAAGGCGGCUUACUGGGUCUCUUCUGACGCUGAGGCACGAAAGCUAGGAUAGCGAACGGGAUUAGAUA
rnacentral:rRNA from 1 species